GGGAAGGACAACAUACUCAUUGCACAGACUUUCAGAAGCGGAACAAAUGUAUCAUGAUGAAGACUGAUCUGCAUUUGGUGCUUUUGCCAGAGGAGCAGGAUGCAAUUUGUGAGAGUUGAGGUGAAAUCAAGUCCAAAUGUUAGUGAUCCAGAAGUGAAGACGGAGAUAUUAGGGAAGAUAGAGCAGAUACUGAAGGAGAAUGGUAUGCCAGAAAACGUCAAACUGUCAUGGAGAAACUAAUCAGAUGGAAAUAUCUUUCAAAAGAAGAACCAGAAGAAGGAUACUACUGAGCAGACUUGCCUAUACAUCACGAAUAAAUAAAACUUUACUGGCUGUUUUAUAAUAGGAUUAUUGAUCCCCUGGGAAAACAGUAGUAUAGUAAUUAUUCAACAUGUGUGCUUGGACAUUCUCACUCAUUUCAGCUGAUGAGCUGUGAUUCUGCAGAAAUACUCCUGAACAAUUUCUUGAAGUUUAUCAGUUUUUCCCACAGCCUGUUGAGCGCUGUAGCUCAAUUUAAUAUAUGUUUGAUGUAAUGAAAAUUCACUAAAAUGAAUAAAGA